rnacentral:lncRNA from 1 species
GCCCGGAGCCAAGAUGGCCGCCGCGGCUUCGGGUCCGCCGCGUGCCCUUUCGCGGGCGGAGCCCCCGGCGCACGCCGCUUCUCCCCUCGGGGUUGUGAGAGUGGGAACGGUUGGAGGCAUUGAGGCUGCAUUUCCACCAAGCAGGCCGGAUUCCUCGCGUCUGGUGCCCCGAGCUUGGGCAGGCCAUGGAAGGGAGCAGCGGUCGGCUGCCGCCUGCCCCGCUCUGCAGUUGAGUGUGAAAACCUGCCCUUCCUUGCGUGGGCGGGCCUCACCGUCCCCGCCCCACUGGCAGUGUUACCUUCACGUAUUAGCUGUUUUGCCUCAUCGGAAGAAAGUAUAUUUGGGGUCAGUGGGCGAACAUCCAACCAAACCCUUUCAUUCGAAAAAAAAAUCCUCUUUGCCUAAAUCACUCAGUAAAUUGUUUGAGCUACUGAAUAGCAUUCAAAUUAAUUCACUCAUUAAUUCAAAUAAAUGAAACCAUCAUAUCCUUCUUUGGUUGUACACACCUCGGAUGUCCAGGCCCCUGAGUCAGGACAAUUGUAAAAUAUGGAUUUAGUUCAAUCUCAACAGACAGAUACUUGUCGUGUUGUGGCUGUGUGCAUGUCUGAGGGAGAGAAUGGCAUUAUCAAAGAUUGCUGGAGUUGUCCAAAGGUCAGAGACCAGAAAAUGAGCAAAGCCCAGCUUCCCAGCUUCUCCUGGGGUGCAUGCACUAGUUGGAAGAUAUGGUAAGGCUGAAUGCCAGCCUGGGAUCUAAAUGCAAAGUAAGGGUGGGUGUGAGGGGACACUGAGCCUACCAGGUAACAAGAGAACAAAACAGAGUGGUCUGGCCUGUUGAACACUGGGAUUAGCAGCAGAGCCCCAGAACAUCGUAUAAAUGAAUCGUCUGGUAGAAGGGCAGCCUCGUAAAACCAAGAUUAAGUGAUGGGCAAACACGGGCAAAACCUGGACUUUUCUGAGAAAGGACCCUGUAUGGUAGAAUUGUGUUCCCCAAAAAGAUACGUGGAGAAGCAGAUGUGGCUCAAGCGAUUGGGCCCCCAUCUACCAUAUAGGAGGUCCAGGGUUCAGUGCCCGGGGCCUCCUAGUGAAGGCAGGCUGGGCCGCAUGGAGAGCUGGUCCUUGCAGGUGCUGGCCCACACAGAGUGCUGACCUGCAUGGAGUGCUGCCCCACACAGAAGUGCUGGCCCACACAGAGAGCUGGCAGAGCAAGAUGAUGCAACAAAAAGAGACACAGAGGAGAGACAAUAGGAGACGCAGCACACCAGGGACCUGAGGUGGUGCAAGAGAUUGAGCACCUCUCUCCCACUUUGGAAGGUCCCAGGAUCAGUUCCUGGUGCCGCCUAAAGAGAAGAGAAGCAGACACAGAAGAACACACAGAGAAUGGACAAAGAGAACAGACGGGGGGAUAAAUAAAUAAACCUAAAAAAAAAAAAAAGAUAUGUGUAAGUCCUAAGCCCCAGUACCUGUGAACGGGACCUUAUUUGGAAAUAUUGUGGUUGGAAUUAGUUAAGUAAAAAGGAGAUCAUACUGCAGUACAGUGGGCAGGGUGGGCUGUUAAUCCAGUGACAGGGGUCCCUAGCAGGACACGUGAAACAAGGAGACAAAGACUGCAAUGAUGCAUUUCUAAGCCAAGGUUGCUGGCAAACGCCAGAAGCUGGAAGAGGCAAGGAAGGAUUCUCGCCUACAGGUUUCAGAUGGACACUGGCCCUGCCGACACUUUGAUUUCCUGGAGAGCUGCCAGAUGGUGAAAGGAUACAUUUCUGUUGUUUGAACCAGCCAGUUCGUGGUCCUUUGUUGUGGCAGCACAAGAAAUCUCAGACAGACCCCGAGAGCUGAAGCACCAGAAGCCAGACUCCCUUCGCCUGGAGUGUGAGAUUUGGCCACAGGGGAAGGCAGGCACCAAAGGAUUCAUCUGAUGGUGUGAGUUCACGUGUGUCUAAGUGUGUGGGCAUGUGAGUGUUUAUCUGGUAUGUGGCAGGUAGCAUUUCUGUGGGCAUCGUUAGUUGGAAUCAAUAUAUAAAUCAGGGAAAUGGAUGUGGCUCAACCAAUUGGGCUCCUGUCUACCAUACAGGAAGUCCAGGGUUCGAUGUCCAGGGUUCGAUGCCCAGGGCCUCCUGCUGAGGGCAAGCUGGCCCACAUAGAGCGCCGGCUUUGCGCAGAAGUGCGGCCCCGUGCAGGAGUGCCGGCCGACGCAGAGAGCUGGUGCACCAAGAUGACGCAACAAGAGACACAGAGGAGAGAAAAUAAGAAGACACAGCAGAACAGGGAGAUGUGUGGCACAAGAGAGUAAUCACCUCUCUUCCACUCCGGAAGGUCCCAGGAUCAGUUCCUGGAGCCACCUAAUGAGAAUACAAGCAGACGCAGAAGAACACACAGUGAAUGGACACAGAGAGCAGACAAUGGGGGUGGUGGUGGGGGGAUAAAAAAACUCAUAAUGUAUAUAUAUAUAAAUCAGUAUGCCUCUCUGCUCCAUUUACCUCAACUUUUCCUUUUCAGUUUGGAGCAAUUCCUGUUGCCUUUUGAACUGCUCCAGCCUUCCUACCACCAGGAUGGCCCACAUACCACUCUGGGAUCUUCAGAGCUCCCCAACUCUGACCACUGCCCCGUCCUGCACAUUUCACAGGAUCUGCUUCCCAUCUGGUCUGUUGCUCCCACCCAUCUCCUUUUUUUUUUUUUUAAUUUCAAUGUGCUGGGGAACGCAGAUGUGGCUCAAGUGAUAGGGCUUCUGCCUACCAUAUGGGAGGAACCAGGUUUGAUCUCUGGGGCCUCCUGGUGAAAAAGAAGAGAAAGCAUGACUGCACGGCAGGCCAGUGCCCAUGUGGUGAGCCAGUGCCCACACAAAGCAAGUCACGCAGCAAGAUGAUGAUGCAACAAAAAGAGAGACAAAGGGGAAAGUCAAGGUGAAGCACAGCAGAAACCAGGAACUGAGGUGGCACAGCUAACAGGGAACCUCUCUCCACAUCAGAGGUCCCCAGGAUCGAAUCCCAGUGAAUCCUAGAGGAGAGAAAAUGAGAAGACAAGACCAAAAGAGAAAUAGAUACAGAAGAUCACACAGCAAAUGGAUACAGACAGCAAAAACAUCAGGGCAGGAUGGGGAGAGGAGAAGGGAGGAAAAUAAAUAAAUAAAUAUUUUUUAAAAAAUUUCAGUGUGCUGCUACCUAAUCCUUGGAC